UAGGGAAUCUUCGGCAAUGGACGAAAGUCUGACCGAGCAACGCCGCGUGAGUGAAGAAGGUUUUCGGAUCGUAAAACUCUGUUGUUAGAGAAGAACAAGGACGUUAGUAACUGAACGUCCCCUGACGGUAUCUAACCAGAAAGCCACGGCUAACUACUUGCCAGCAGCCGCGGUAAUACGUAGGUGGCAAGCGUUGUCCGGAUUUAUUGGGCGUAAAGCGAGCGCAGGCGGUUUCUUAAGUCUGAUGUGAAAGCCCCCGGCUCAACCGGGGAGGGUCAUUGGAAACUGGGAGACUUGAGUGCAGAAGAGGAGAGUGGAAUUCCAUGUGUAGCGGUGAAAUGCGUAGAUAUAUGGAGGAACACCAGUGGCGAAGGCGGCUCUCUGGUCUGAAACUGACACUGAGGCUAGAAAGCGUGGGGAGCAAACAGG
rnacentral:rRNA from 1 species